GUGCUUGCUUUAGCAGCACAUAUACUAAAAUUGGAAUGAUACAAGAGAAGAUUAACAUGUCCCCCGAGCAAGGAAGACAUACAAUUCAUGAAACGUUUCAAAAUUUU